AGUGAACGCUGGCGGUAGGCCUAACACAUGCAAGUCGAACGGCAGCACCGUAAGAGCUUGCUCUUACGGGUGGCGAGUGGCGGACGGGUGAGGAAUACAUCGGAAUCUACUUUUUCGUGGGGGAUAACGAAGGGAAACUUACGCUAAUACCGCAUAUGACCUACGGGUGAAAGCAGGGGAUCUUCGGACCUUGCGCGAUUGAAUGAGCCGAUGUCGGAUUAGCUAGUUGGCGGGGUAAUGGCCCACCAAGGCGACGAUCCGUAGCUGGUCUGAGUGGAUGAUCACCCACACGAGAACGGAACCACGGUCCAGACUCCUACGGGAGGCAGCAGUGGGGAAUAUUGGACAAUGGGCGCAAGCCUGAUCCAGCCAUACCGCGUGGGUGGAGAAGGCCUUCGGGUUGUAAAGCCCUUUUGUUGGGAAAGAAAAGCAGCAGCUUAAUACCCCGCUGUUCUGACGGUACCCAAAGAAUAAGCACCGGCUAACUUCGUG
rnacentral:rRNA from 1 species